rnacentral:tRNA from 1 species
GAAGAUGUAGUUAAAUUUAAUGUAUCAUUUACACUGAUGAGUUGUUUGUAUAAUCAUUCUAUCUUAA